UUAGAGAAGAAGGGGGAUAUAAAGGGAGGUUGUGAUAGGGAUAAGGGAGAAAUGCCGAGAGGCCGGGAGGAUGAGGGUUUUGUCGCUGAUCUUGUUUGCUAGCUCAUUUGUUUUUUGGAUCCGACGGUUUUUCGUGUUUGUGUGCUUUGGUUUUCUCGGGUAGAAGUUGAUAUUGGCUUUUAUGUUUGCAUCUCGCUGAGUUGCUGCGGGACUUCUUGAUCGGAUCUUGCCGUUCUUGGGGUUUUUGAUCGGAAGUGACAAUGAUAUGCUACUUCUUAGCAUCUCUGUGAUCUUGGCAAGAUUUGUUGUACUAAGGCGAGUCCUGUUUGAUAAGGAUUUUUGGUUGCUUUUCUUGUCACUCCCUUGUUGUUUCCGAGAACUCUUGUUGGAUUUGUGGAGGAAGAAGGUUAUAAUUGAAGAUGUAAUCGAUUCUAUUUCAUCUUGCCGAGUUCUGUUUAUGGAUGUGUUUGUGUGUAAGUUGAUGAUUGAUGGAUUUCUAUUUUUCCUCGGCGUUACAGUUAUAAUUAUUAGCACUUGUUUCCAUAGAUAGUUGUGUGGGGUAGAAACCAAGUGCCAGACCUUUUCUUUCUCUCUCGCUUCAUACUAUUUGUUUGGUUUCUUCACUGUCCAACCGAAAACAUUGUAAAAAAAAGGGGUGGAAUUUAUGAUUUCUGUUCUUGUCAUUGGUUGUUGUGUCCUGGAAUAGUUUGGUUUUAAUUUUGUCAAUGUUCUCAAUGUUAUGCUUACGUGUAGCUUAAUUGUUGUUUGUUCAAUUUUGGAUAUGAUUAGUUGCUAUGUUUGGAUUAGUUAGAGUAUGGUUCUUUUCAAUUUUUCAAUAUUUGAAUGGCUAAGUUCAUAAUUUAUGGGCUGUGAAUUUCAGUUACAUAAGCUUUAAAGGUUAGUAUCAAUUAAUUAAGUAUUGUUAGCGUAUCACUUGUUAGUAUACCUAAUGUUUUGUUCAAAAUCAGUUUGUAAGUUGUUUUUACCAUAUUUUGUAUAGAUGGGUAUGUGUUUAUAACUAGGAGAACAUGAGCAUGGUAGGUGACCAGUAUGGGUUGGGCGCCUUAGGAUGAGCUCCAAGGAGGAUCCUUACAAAUUUGACUGAUAAGGAACAGGAAAAAAUACUGAGACUGAUAUGGAGGAGACGGAGGUGGUUUGACCGAGCUAGUGAGAUGAGAUGCGUCAGACACUACCACUGUUAGGAGUUUGUGAUUUGAAAAUGAAAUAUAGAAUUUCCUAUUGUAAUAACUGAGACAUGAGUGACUUCCUUUCUUGUGGGAAGCUAAAGGCUGUUUAUUUUGAUUUUUUUAAAAAAUAAUAAAUAAAUAAAAAUAGAAAAACAAAUUUGAUGAUUGGGACG